UGAAUAAAAGACAUAAAUAUUACACUAUAAAUUAUUAAUAAAAAGUAAAUCAUCUGUCACCUCCUAGUUGUAAAAAUAGAAUAGCAGAGUUAAAUUAUUUUUGCACAUAGCUAAAAUCGUUUUUUCACACUCUAGACAUAGCAAAAACCCUAUUUUCCAUCUAAGAAAAUAGGGUUUUUUAUAUAUUUUAGCCUCUGAAAAUCCUUUUUUAGCUAUUUGU
rnacentral:ncRNA from 22 species